AUGUUAGGUCUUCUACCCCCUGGUCUGUGAUGUCAUGUUAGGUCUUCUACCCCCUGGUCUGUGAUGUCAUGUUAGGUCUUCUACCCCCUGGUCUGUGAUGUCAUGUUAGGUCUUCUACCCCCUGGUCUGUGAUGUCAUGUUAGGUCUUCUACCCCCUGGUCUGUGAUGUCAUGUUAGGUCUUCUACCCCCUGGUCUGUGAUGUCAUGUUAGGUCUUCUACCCCCUGGUCUGUGAUGUCAUGUUAGGUCUUCUACCCCCUGGUCUGUGAUGUCAUGUUAGGUCUUCUACCCCCUGGUCUGUGAUGUCAUGUUAGGUCUUCUACCCCCUGGUCUGUGAUGUCAUGUUAGGUCUUCUACCCCCUGGUCUGUGAUGACGUUGUUGCACCAAUGCUCUGUGUUGUCCUAACUUCC